rnacentral:rRNA from 1 species
UACGGGGGGGGCAAGCGUUGUUCGGAAUUACUGGGCGUAAAGGGCUCGUAGGCGGCCAACUAAGUCGGAUGUGAAAUCCCCAGGCUUAACCUGGGAACUGCAUCCGAUACUGGAUGGCUUGAAUCCGGGAGAGGGAUGUGGAAUUCCAGGUGUAGCGGUGAAAUGCGUAGAUAUCUGGAGGAACACCGGUGGCGAAGGCGGCAUCCUGGACCGGUAUUGACGCUGAGGAGCGAAAGCCAGGGGAGCAAAACGGGG